AAGCAGCAGGGUUGGAGGGUUGGAGGAGGAGGUAGAAGCAGCAGGGUUGGACGGUUGGAGGAGGAGGUAGUAGCAGCAGGGUUGGAGGGUUGGAUGAGGAGGUAGUAGCAGCAGGGUUGGCGGAUGAGGUAGAAGCGGUAGGGUUGGAGGAGGAGGUAGAAGCAGCAGGGUUGGACGGUUGGAGGAGAAGGUAGUAGCAGCAGGGUUGGAGGAGGAGGUAGAAGCAGCAGGGUUGGAGGGUUGGAUGAGGAGGUAGAAGUAGCAGGGUUGGAUGAGGAGGUAGAAGCAGCAAGGUUGGCAGAUGAGGUAGAAGCGGUAGGGUUGGAAGAGAAGGUAGAAGCAGCAGGGUUGGACGGUUGGAGGAGAAGGUAGUAGCAGCAGGGUUGAAGGAGGAGGUAGUAGCAGCAGGGUUGGAUGAGGAGGUAUUAGCAGCAGGGUUGGAGGAGGAGGAGGUAGAAGCAGCAGGGUUGGAGGGUUGGAUGAGGAGGUAGAAGCGGUAGGGUUGGAAGAGAAGGUAGAAGCAGCAGGGUUGGACGGUUGGAGGAGAAGGUAGUAGCAGCAGGGUUGAAGGAGGAGGUAGUAGCAGCAGGGUUGGAGGGUUGGAUGAGGAGGUAGAAGCAGGAUGGUUGGAUGAGGAGGUAGUAGCAGCAGGGUUGAAGGAGGAGGUAGAAGCAGCAGGGUUGGACCGUUGGAGGAGGUAGAAGCAGCAGGUUUGGAGGAGGAGGUAGAAGCAGCAGGGUUGGAGGGUUGGAGGAGGAUGUAGUAGCAGCAGGGUUGGACCGUUGGAGGAGAUAGAAGCAGCAGGGUUGAAGGAGGAGGUAGUAGUAGCAGGAUUAAAACUGCUUCUUCAGAAGGACGCAGUAGGACGCCGGCCUCUGUGAUGUUCGGUGAUCUGAGUUCGAUAAUAAAGUCUGUACACACAGAAGUCAAACAAGAUUAGCCCCGCCUUGGGAUCCCCUGAGCACCACCGACGGGUUGCUGAAAUAGCAAAAAUGGUAUUCCAAACCUGUCUACAGAAUCUACUGAGUCUAUAGAGUGGAGGGUACUUUAGCAGAAGCUUCUUUACAGUGUAUCUGUAACUAUGUUUAGUGCCUUGGACUUCUCUUUCUCUAGUGUGUCUGUGUUUGUGUGUGUGUGUGUGUGUGUCUUGCCAGGAAGCUAAUCCUGAAGACGGAUGCUGUACCCUCAUUGACAGUGGAUCAGUGUAUCUUGCAAGCACUGACCAUAAUGUAAGUAUCAGUUUGAUGAGUCUGACACGUUAGCCAACAUUUUGUGGAGAUCGUGGGGCUAACGUUAGAUAAUGCAACUGUGUCUGUUUUGACUGUAACACAACUGAUAGUCACUAUAUGGGUGUUGUUCUUCCAUCCCUAAGCCUCUUAUGUUGAGUCUGAGAACUGCCAGCACACAGGUGACACAAAGGAAUUUGGUUCUCAAAAGGAGUUACG
rnacentral:lncRNA from 1 species